CUAAUUAUUUUUAGAAUCGGUAGGAGAAGAAAGUAGUGCAGAAAAAAUUACAAGUUCCUUAAAUUGCAGACUUGCAUAAAAAAAAUUGGGCAGGUGUACUGAACUGAGCCUCACACUUGUUGAUAAGGAGUAUCUUUCCUACCAAAAAAGCUUUGAAAAUGUAAUUUAUCAAGAAGAUCAGCCGAAUUAUUUUGUGUAUUAUAACGCCAGUGAGAAUUCUGAAAUUCCCCUACUUUCACUUUCAUUUUUAGAGGUUCCCGCAGACAGACGCAUUUUGCCGGAAAACGAAUCUGACAUGCCACCUCGAGAUUUUAACCAAGGAAAGACAAGUUGAUGUGCUUUGAUUUGAGGGGUCACUCACUACCGAACGAAAAUUAGGGACAUCGCUAUGAGAAGAAACGUUAACAUUGUCGCCUAUGGGAAAACAAUUAGUGGACUGUACCCAUAUUAGGAAGCCUAUAAGUUCAUGGUGAUUGGUACAGGAAAAACAUGAGGUCCAUGCAGAUGGUGUUUAAAACUAUUGGCCAGCAAAUGCACACCCAUUUGAAUACAUCUUGAAAAAGAACCAGCAAAAUGUGACAGUUGGCAAAAUAUAGGUUCCCGCAGACAGACGCAUUUUGCCGGAAAACGAAUCUGACAUGCCACCUCGAGAUUUUAACCAAGGAAAGACAAGUUGAUGUGCUUUGAUUUGAGGGGUCACUCACUACCGAACGAAAAUUAGGGACAUCGCUAUGAGAAGAAACGUUAACAUUGUCGCCUAUGGGAAAACAAUUAGUGGACUGUACCCAUAUUAGGAAGCCUAUAAGUUCAUGGUCAUUGGUACAGGAAAAACAUGAGGUCCAUGCAGAUGGUGUUUAAAACUAUUGGCCAGCAAAUGCACACCCAUUUGAAUACAUCUUGAAAAAGAACCAGCAAAAUGUGACAGUUGGCAAAAUAUAGGUUCCCGCAGACAGACGCAUUUUGCCGGAAAACGAAUCUGACAUGCCACCUCGAGAUUUUAACCAAGGAAAGACAAGUUGAUGUGCUUUGAUUUGAGGGGUCACUCACUACCGAACGAAAAUUAGGGACAUCGCUAUGAGAAGAAACGUUAACAUUGUCGCCUAUGGGAAAACAAUUAGUGGACUGUACCCAUAUUAGGAAGCCUAUAAGUUCAUGGUGAUUGGUACAGGAAAAACAUGAGGUCCAUGCAGAUGGUGUUUAAAACUAUUGGCCAGCAAAUGCACACCCAUUUGAAUACAUCUUGAAACAGCAUGACCAGCAAAAUGUGACAGUCGGCAAAAUGUAGGUUCCCGCAGACAGACGCAUUUUGCCGGAAAACGAAUCUGACAUGCCACCUCGAGAUUUUAACCAAGGAAAGACAAGUUGAUGUGCUUUGAUUUGAGGGGUCACUCACUUCUGAACGAAAAUUAGGGACAUCGCUAUGAGAAGAAACGUUAACAUUGUCGCCUAUGGGAAAACAAUUAGUGGACUGUACCCAUAUUAGGAAGCCUAUAAGUUCAUGGUGAUUGGUACAGGAAAAACAUGAGGUCCAUGCAGAUGGUGUUUAAAACUAUUGGCCAGCAAAUGCACACCCAUUUGAAUACAUCUUGAAAAAGAACCAGCAAAAUGUGACAGUCGGCAAAAUAUAGGUUCCCGCAGACAGACGCAUUUUGCCGGAAAACGAAUCUGACAUGCCACCUCGAGAUUUUAACCAAGGAAAGACAAGUUGAUGUGCUUUGAUUUGAGGGGUCACUCACUUCUGAACGAAAAUUAGGGACAUCGCUAUGAGAAGAAACGUUAACAUUGUCGCCUAUGGGAAAACAAUUAGUGGACUGUACCCAUAUUAGGAAGCCUAUAAGUUCAUGGUGAUUGGUACAGGAAAAACAUGAGGUCCAUGCAGAUGGUGUUUAAAACUAUUGGCCAGCAAAUGCACACCCAUUUGAAUACAUCUUGAAACAGCACCAGCAAAAUGUGACAGUCGGCAAAAUGUAGGUUCCCGCAGACAGACGCAUUUUGCCGGAAAACGAAUCUGACAUGCCACCUCGAGAUUUUAACCAAGGAAAGACAAGUUGAUGUGCUUUGAUUUGAGGGGUCACUCACUUCUGAACGAAAAUUAGGGACAUCGCUAUGAGAAGAAACGUUAACAUUGUCGCCUAUGGGAAAACAAUUAGUGGACUGUACCCAUAUUAGGAAGCCUAUAAGUUCAUGGUGAUUGGUACAGGAAAAACAUGAGGUCCAUGCAGAUGGUGUUUAAAACUAUUGGCCAGCAAAUGCACACCCAUUUGAAUACAUCUUGAAAAAGCACCAGCAAAAUGUGACAGUCGG